rnacentral:rRNA from 1 species
UACGUAGGGUCCGAGCGUUGUCCGGAAUUAUUGGGCGUAAAGAGCUCGUAGGCGGUUUGUCGCGUCUGCUGUGAAAUCCCGAGGCUCAACCUCGGGCCUGCAGUGGGUACGGGCAGACUGGAGUGCGGUAGGGGAGAAUGGAAUUCCUGGUGUAGCGGUGGAAUGCGCAGAUAUCAGGAGGAACACCGAUGGCGAAGGCAGUCCUCUGGGCCGCAACUGACGCUGAGGAGCGAAAGCGUGGGGAGCGAACAGG